UUCGUAGGCGGUGCGGCAAGUCGGGAGUGAAAUCUCUGGGCUUAACUCAGGGGCUGCUCCUGAAACUGCCGUGCUCGAGUGCGGGAGAGGCGAGUGGAAUUGCAGGUGUAGCGGUGAAAUGCGUAGAUAUCUGCAGGAACACCCGUGGCGAAGGCGGCUCGCUGGACCGCAACUGACGCUGAGGAACGAAAGCUAGGGGAGCAAACAGGAUUAGAUACCCUGGUAGUCCUAGCCCUAAACCAUCAGGACUUGGGGUGCAUCCCGUUUGGGGUGCGUCCCGGAGCUAACGCGUUAAGUCCUGCGCCUGGGGAGUACGGUCGCAAGGCUGAA
rnacentral:rRNA from 1 species